AUUUAAAGGUAUACAACCUUUUCGCAAACACUCGAACGACUUCCCCUCGCGUUCACUCGCUACCGGCGCGUCAAUCGAUCUCAUCUUUCUCUAUAAAAGGGGGUUCGUUUUAGAUCCAGGCGGACAUAGGCUUCCGCGGGCGAGGAUGGUGGCUUCUUCGUGGCCGUCGCUGGAUGAGCUCGAUGCGGUGAGGAACAAGGUGGCCGAUAUGAGUGGCGCGGAUGUUAGGGAUGUGAGGGUUGUGGUUUCGCCAUAUCGGAUUUGCCCUCUCGGUGCCCACAUUGAUCAUCAGGUCCUAAGGGACCAUGAGAGAUUUCGAGGAGGCUAACCUUUGCGGACGGACACGCAAGGGUGCCGCACGACAUAGGCAAAACCAGCUAAGUCCGUGACAGAUGGUAUCAGAGCGAGACAAGCACUCAUAGAAACACUUGGUAUGCAAAUGUGAGGGACCUAGGGGGGCUGCGUUGAGGGCAGUCAACACACGCGCGAUUGUUUGGGGGAAAACGGGCAUGGAGAUAUAGGGAAAAGGAGUUGCUCAGAGGAGCGGGCAUCUGAGAUUGGCAUUCAGAGGAAUGACCAACUCUUUGCGCAAGAGGCACCACGAGAACAAGCAAGCUUGGAAGAAUGCGGAGCCCACAAAGGUUGGGAUGGCUGAGUUUGAGCUACGGCUCAACGUUGACAACUAUACUUGAUGGUGCUCAAGGCAAGUGAGACGCUUGAUAAAGGAUGAGACCAUGCAAGGUGGAAUGAGUUGCUCAGCGACUGAAAGAGUUGUGCAAAGCUCACAGAGGUGAGGGGAAUUGCUAACUCGAAGAAUUUGGUACUAAUGCAUGGGCUUGUAUGUAGACGAUGGAAUGUUCGCGGUCAUCCCAAGGCGACUGAAACUCGGCGCCAUGGAGUAUUGAAACUUUCUCUUCGGCAUGUGAAAGAUACGUCCGUAGGAGGCUGAAGUGUGCAGCAAGUUCAGCAUGUUGCUAGGCCUUGAGCGGUGCAGCGGGGGCUGUAUUGACGUGGAGUCACAAUCUAGCAAGUGCAUUUGCAGGAGGCAGAACAAUGCACAGUUUGUUCAGCAAAUCGGAAUAGUCCAAGGAGAUGG